rnacentral:lncRNA from 1 species
CGCUGCUAUUUACGGUGUUUUGUUUUCUGAUCUGAUCGUUUUUCUGAUUUGGUUUGUUUUGUUAUGUAGCUGACAAGAAGAUUAAGAUCGGAAUCAACGGUGAGUUUCGGAUUGAAUUUUUUAAUUUUUAGGGUUUGUUGAUUCUCGUAUAGAUAGAUCUAGAAUCUGACUUUUGGUUUCUGUAAUCGUUAGGAUUCGGAAGAAUCGGUCGUUUGGUUGCUAGAGUUGUUCUUCAGAGGGACGAUGUUGAGCUCGUUGCUGUUAACGACCCCUUCAUCACCACUGAGUACAUGGUUAGUGUUCUUCCUUGGUUUUGAAAGUGAUCGGUUAAAUACCAUUUUGAUACCUUGAUGAUAAGAUUCUCUUAGUCCCUCUGAUACCUUGAUGAUACUCUCGUUAGAUUUGGAAGAUGGAUCGUAUCCAUAUAGAUUAUGCAUGUGUGUUUUAGGUGUCAGAUGAUUUGUUCUAUUAGUUCUCAGAUCCGGAAACUGGUUUAGUGUUCUUUGUUCAUAUUGUUUAGCUUCUCAGAAUAUUUGUUGAGCUGUUGAUUGUUUUUAAUGUCUAUGUAAUGUUAUUAAUUGGCCUGUUUGUGAUUAAAGUUGAUAUGAUUGAGUUGAUUUUUGAACGUUUUAAUUGAUUAUGUUGUCUUUGAUUGCUGCAGACCUACAUGUUCAAGUAUGACAGUGUUCACGGUCAAUGGAAACACAAUGAACUCAAGAUCAAGGAUGAGAAGACCCUUCUCUUCGGUGAGAAGCCAGUCACUGUUUUCGGCAUCAGGUACAUUUAUCAACCAGUUCUCUGCCUCCUUGCAUGUAUAAACUGUUGGGAAUUUCAAUCUCAUUAGUUUUUGGUAUUUGUGAAGGAACCCUGAGGAUAUCCCAUGGGCCGAGGCUGGAGCUGACUACGUUGUUGAGUCUACCGGUGUCUUCACUGACAAGGACAAGGCUGCUGCUCACUUGAAGGUUUGUCUUAUUUGAAUUGGUUAUUUAUGUGUAGUACUGAUAUAAAUUGCUUCCAUGUGCUAGAAUUUGCUAAGUAUCAUUCAACUAACUGAGUGACUUGUUGUUUGUUUAGGGUGGGGCCAAGAAGGUUGUCAUCUCUGCCCCCAGCAAAGACGCACCCAUGUUUGUUGUUGGUGUCAACGAGCACGAAUACAAGUCCGACCUUGACAUUGUCUCCAACGC